rnacentral:rRNA from 1 species
GGGUUGUGAGGUUAAGCGACUAAGCGUACACGGUGGAUGCCCUGGCAGUCAGAGGCGAUGAAGGGCGUGCUAAUCUGCGAUAAGCGCCGGUAAGGUGAUAUGAACCGUUAUAACCGGCGAUACCCGAAUGGGGAAACCCAGUGUGAUUCGUCACACUAUCAUUAACUGAAUCCAUAGGUUAAUGAGGCGAACCGGGGGAACUGAAACAUCUAAGUACCCCGAGGAAAAGAAAUCAACCGAGAUUCCCCCAGUAGCGGCGAGCGAACGGGGAGGAGCCCAGAGCCUGAAUCAGCAUGUGUGUUAGUGGAAGCGUCUGGAAAGGCGCGCGAUACAGGGUGACAGCCCCGUACACAAAAGCGCAUAUGCUGUGAGCUCGAUGAGUAGGGCGGGACACGUGGUAUCCUGUCUGAAUAUGGGGGGACCAUCCUCCAAGGCUAAAUACUCCUGACUGACCGAUAGUGAACCAGUACCGUGAGGGAAAGGCGAAAAGAACCCCGGCGAGGGGAGUGAAAAAGAACCUGAAACCGUGUACGUACAAGCAGUGGGAGCCCCACCACUAAGCCAGUGGUGAACUCCACAUACGCAUCCUUUGCUGAGGAGACGGUUAACGGAGCGAAAGCGACGUUCAACCUCAAAAGAAGCAGAGGGGGCUUAGUGGUGGGGUGACUGCGUACCUUUUGUAUAAUGGGUCAGCGACUUAUAUUCUGUAGCAAGGUUAACUGUAUAGGGGAGCCGGAGGGAAACCGAGUCUUAACCGGGCGUUAAGUUGCAGGGUAUAGACCCGAAACCCGGUGAUCUAGCCAUGGGCAGGUUGAAGGUUGGGUAACACUAACUGGAGGACCGAACCGACUAAUGUUGAAAAAUUAGCGGAUGACCUGUGGCUGGGGGUGAAAGGCCAAUCAAACCGGGAGAUAGCUGGUUCUCCCCGAAAGCUAUUUAGGUAGCGCCUCGUGAAUUCAUCUCCGGGGGUAGAGCACUGUUUCGGCUAGGGGGCCAUCCCGGCUUACCAACCCGAUGCAAACUGCGAAUACCGGAGAAUGUUAUCACGGGAGACACACGGCGGGUGCUAAUGUCCGUCGUGAAGAGGGAAACAACCCAGACCGCCAGCUAAGGUCCCAAAGU